GUGAGGAAUUUUCCGCAAUGGGCGAAAGCCUGACGGAGCAAUGCCGCGUGAAGGAUGAAGGCCUAUGGGUUGUAAACUUCUUUUCUCAGAAAAGAAUUAUGACGGUAUCUGAGGAAUAAGCAUCGGCUAACUCUGUGCCAGCAGCCGCGGUAAGACAGAGGAUGCAAGCGUUAUCCGGAAUGAUUGGGCGUAAAGCGUCUGUAGGUUGUUUAAAAAGUAUUCUGUCAAAGAUUAGGGCUUAACCCUAGAUAGGCAGAAUAAACUUUUAAGCUAGAGUUUGGUAGAGGCAGAGGGAACUCCCGGUGGAGCGGUGAAAUGCGUAGAUAUCGGGAGGAACACCAAAGGCGAAGGCACUCUGCUGGGCCAAUACUAACACUGAGAGACGAAAGCGAGGGGAGCAAAUGGGAUUAGAAACCCGUGUAGUCC
rnacentral:rRNA from 1 species